rnacentral:rRNA from 1 species
UCAAGCUACAAAGAGCACAAGGGGAAUGCCUUGGCACCGAGAGCCGAAGAAGGACGUGACUAACUGCGAUAAGCUGCGGGGAGCCGUAAGUAGGCUUUGAUCCGCAGAUUUCCGAAUGGAGCAAUCCGGCAAGAGGAAAGUCUUGUCAUCAUAUACUGAAUACAUAGGUAUAUGAGGGGAACCGCCUGAACUGAAACAUCUAAGUAGGGCGAGGAAGAGAAAUCAACUGAGAUUCCGUAAGUAGUGGCGAGCGAACGCGGAAGAGGCCAAACCGAGAGUAGUAAUACUUUCGGGGUUCGGACAGAAUACGGCAUUGUAAAGGUUUAGUGGAAUGGAAUGGGAAGUCCAACCGAAGAAGGUGAGAGUCCUGUACACGAAAAGCCUGAACAGCCAUCUGUAUCCAGAGUACCGCCGGACACGUGAAACCCGGUGGGAAUACGGGGGGACCAUCCUCCAAGCCUAAAUACUACUCGGUGACCGAUAGUGAAGAAGUACUGUGAAGGAAAGGUGAAAAGUACCCCUGACGGGGAGUGAAAAAGAACCUGAAACCUUGUGUUUACAAGCACCGAAAGCUCAUCAAAGAGCGAUCGGGUACCUUUUGUAGAAUGGUCCGGCGAGUGAAUGUAACCGGCGAGGUUAAGCACUUAAGGUGUGAAGCCGCAGCGAGAGCAAGUCUGAAUAGGGCGUAUGAAGUCGGUUGUAUUCGACCCGAAACCGGGUGACCUACCCAUGGUCAGGUUGAAGUAAAGGUAAAACUUUAUGGAGGACCGAACCGACUCCCGUUGAAAUGGUAGCGGAUGAACUGUGGGUAGCGGAGAAAUUCCAAUCGAACCCGGAGAUAGCUGGUUCUCUCCGAAAUAGCUUUAGGGCUAGCCUUGAAAUAGAUUACCGGAGGUAAAGCACUGAAUUGGCUAGGGGCCGAGAGGUUACUGAACCUUAUCAAACUAAGAAUGCCGGAUAAUCGUUUUUCAGGAGUCAGACAGUGGGAGAUAAGUUUCAUUGUCAAAAGGGAAACAGCCCAGACCCACAGCUAAGGUCCCCAAGUAUAGUUAAGUGGAAAAGGAUGUGGAAUUGCACAGACAACCAGGAUGUUGGCUUAGAAGCAGCCACUCAUUAAAAGAGUGCGUAAUAGCUCACUGGUCGAGUGACUCUGCGCCGAAAAUUUAACGGGGCUAAACUAUACACCGAAGCUUGGGAUACAUCUAAUGUAUGGUAGGAGAGCGUUCUGUAUGGGGAGAAGUCGUAGCGAAAGCGGCGGUGGACUAUACAGAAGUGAGAAUGCCGGAAUAAGUAGCGAGAAUUAAGUGAGAAUCUUAAUGGCCGAAAGUCUAAGGUUUUUGGAGGAAGGUUCGUCCGCUCCAAGUAAGUCGGGAGCUAAGGUCAGGCCGAAAGGCGUAGCCGAUGCACAUACGGUUGAUAUUCCGUAACCAUCUGUAAUUUAAGCAAAGGGACACUUCAAAAGGGUGUGACCCGGGCGUUGGUUGACCCGGGCGUAAGGGACCGAAAUUAGAGUAGGGAAGCACACUUAGCUGAAGGCGAGAAAAGCUUUGCGUAUAGAAACAGAUGCCCGUACCGCAAACCGACACAGGUGGACAGGAAGAGAAUUCUAAGGCCAGCGGGAGAAGGGUAGUUAAGGAACUCGGCAAAUUGACUCCGUAACUUCGGAAUAAGGAGUGCUCGAAAGAGCCGCAGAGAAUAGGCCCAGGCGACUGUUUAGCAAAAACACAGGUCUCUGCCAAAUCGAAAGAUGAAGUAUAGGGGCUGACACCUGCCCGGUGCCGGAAGGUUAAGAGGAGGAGUGAGAGCUCCGAAUUGAAGCCCCGGUAAACGGCGGCCGUAACUAUAACGGUCCUAAGGUAGCGAAAUUCCUUGUCGGGU